CCUACGGGUGGCAGCAGUGGGGAAUAUUGCACAAUGGGGGAAACCCUGAUGCAGCAACGCCGCGUGAGUGAAGAAGUAUUUCGGUAUGUAAAGCUCUAUCAGCAGGGAAGAAGAAAGACGGUACCUGACUAAGAAGCCCCGGCUAACUACGUGCCAGCAGCCCCGGUAAUACGUAGGGGGCAAGCGUUAUCCGGAGUUACUGGGGGUAAAGGGAGUGUAUACGGCUAUGAAAGUCUGAAGUGAAAGCCCGUGGCUCAACCGCGGAACUGCUGUGGAAACUGUAUAGCUUGAGUAAUGGAGAGGCAUGCGGAAUUCCUAGUGUAGCGGUGAAAUGCGUAGAUAUUAGGAGGAACACCAGUGGCGAAGGCGGCCUGCUGGACAGAAACUGACGUUGAGGCUCGAAAGCGUGGGGAGCAGACAGGAUUAGAUACCCGGGUAGUC
rnacentral:rRNA from 1 species